CUUCCUUUUUCUCUUGCUCUGAGCCUUACGAUUUACGCAGAAGCAAGGCGGUCUCUCCUUAAUUUCCGCAGGGAGAGCGAUCGCUUCGGGAUGCUCAGACCACUGGGCUGACCUAGUUUAUCCCCGGUUGUUUAUAAAGGGGAAACAUGUAUUUUUAAGCAGGUGUACUGCCAGGGGCGACGUGAGGAAGUUGGAAGGGAGGAAGGGGCUUUGCUCUCCAGAAGGGACACCCGUGCAGGGGCCCGAUGGCAUGGACGGGGAGGGACAGCCCUGGGAGCGAGGGCGGCAGAGGGACCAGGACCCCAAGAAGGUGGCAGGGGAGGGUGUCGUCCGUUGCUUUGCCCGAGGCUCCACUGACCCAUCAGCUCUUCCCCUGGGGAAACUCCCGAUCCACGAUGGAACCCCUGAGUCUACCACCGCCCUGGGCCCCCGGCCGGGACAGACGGGGACACCGUCCUCGUGCGAGAUGGCAAAGUCGAAGAGCUGGCGCAGCACCGAGAGCCACUUGCGGCAGGGCUGGAACCUGACCAACAGCACCGGGGGCGCCAUGGUCCAGACGGGCUUGGCGUGGCUUCUGUCCUGAAGAAAGGUGCAGAUUACGUUCCAGAACUCUUCCACCAGAAGAAGAAAUCAUUACACAAGGCUUUUAUUGUGAGUUCUCUGCCUCAUGAAACGAUCCACCGCAAAGCUCAGAAUUUUCCAAGAAUUUAACUCACAUCCCAAAGCGCGGAGGAGAACAUACUGGGCGAACAUUGUCAUCCCUGCUCCUGUAGAUGGAGCUCGGCCAAUGUCACUCCAAAAUAGGACCCCUUGGUAUGAAGCGUAUUUUGAACGAAAGGCCCUUGGUGCCCAACAGUUGUUGGAAGGGGCUUUCUCUCUUUCUUCAUAAAAAAUCAGACCCACCAAAAAGAACAACCUACUACCCUUUCCCUCUCUGUUAUCUCACUAUAUUACAGGAAGGAAAAUCAAGAAUGCAACCAGAUCUGGCCCAAAUCCUUUUCAAUAUAAUACCUGUCUCUCAGGUUCCUUUAAUUUGCUAAGAGAAUCAUUUACAAGUCAAUGUGUCUCUCCACUGGUCCCCCCCACCCAUUCAUCCUCCCCUGGCAACCCUUUAUUGCCCCUAAACAGAAUAAUCUAUAUCCCUUAUCACCGCCCUCCCCUCUAAAAUGAGGAUAUAUAAAUUUCUGGGCCCCACUGGCCUAUUGACUGGUCAC